rnacentral:rRNA from 1 species
GACAAACGCUGGCGGCGUGCCUAACACAUGCAAGUCGAGCGAGAAUAUAUUAAUGAGAUUUCGGUUGAAUUAAAAUAUGGAAAGCGGCGGACGGGUGAGUAACGCGUGAGUAAUCUGCCUUGUACAGAGGGAUAGCCUCGGGAAACCGGGAUUAAUACCACAUAAUGCUUAUAUAUCAAAAGAUAAAUAAGCCAAAGUGUUUAGCGGUACAAGAUGAGCUCGCGUCCCAUUAGCUAGUUGGUAAGAUAAAGCCUACCAAGGCGACGAUGGGUAGCCGGCCUGAGAGGGCGACCGGCCACACUGGGACUGAGACACGGCCCAGACUCCUACGGGAGGCUGCAGUGGGGAAUAUUGCGCAAUGGACGAAAGUCUGACGCAGCAACGCCGCGUGAGGGAUGAAGUACGUCGAGAUGUAAACCUCUUUCAGCAGGGACGAAGCGAAAGUGACGGUACCUGCAGAAGAAGGACCGGCUAACUACGUG